rnacentral:lncRNA from 1 species
CGGCCACAGCUGGGAGCCGGGUCUGCGCUAGGAGACCGUUUCCUCUCAGAAGCUGUAAUUAUGGAGGCCUCAGAACUGGGCGUGGAGGACGUGCAGCUGCAUGAGGCUCACUGCUGGCUGGGCUCCUCCAUCCCUCUGCUCCUUAUAAAAGAGGCCCCAAGAGCUCCCCUGCUCCCUCUGCUGUCUACUGAGGACACAGUGAGAAGACGGUCAUCUGCAAACUAGGAAGUGAAUCUGCUGGUGCCUUGAUCUUGGACUUCCCAGCUUCCGGAACUGUUGUUCAUAAGCUACCCCAGUUUACGGCAUAUUUGUUAUAGCAGCCUGAACAAACAUUUGGAGACAUCUGCUCUCUACCCAGGGCUGCUCCCACCACAGGGCCUUUGCACAUGCUGUUCCCACUCCUGGAUGCUGUUCCCCACAUCCCUUCCUCCUUACUCCCUAAGGGGUUCCUUGAUCAUCCCAUUGAAAAGUUGCUUCUGCGGCCAGGCUCAGUGGCUCACGCCUGUAAUCCCAACACUCUGGGAGGCUGAGGAGGGUGGAUCACCUGAGGUCAGGAAUUCGGGACCAGCCUGGCCAACAUGGUGAAACCCCGUCUCUACUAAAAAUACAAAAAGUUAACUGGGCAUGGUCCCAUGCGCCUGUAAUCCCAGCUACUUGGGAGGCUGAGGCAGGAGAAUCGCUUGAACCCGGG